rfam:Pseudomonas tuomuerensis strain JCM 14085 PT85_5, whole genome shotgun sequence.
CACUGACGCCGGGCCCCUCUGGCGGUGGGUUUCCCACCGCGAUGUCGGAGUCAGCUG